GAUGAAGAACGCAGCGAAAUGCGAUAAGUAAUGUGAAUUGCAGAAUUCAGUGAAUCAUCGAAUCUUUGAACGCACAUUGCGCCCUCUGGUAUUCCGGGGGGCAUGCCUGUUCGAGCGUCAUUAUAACCACUCAAGCUCUCGCUUCGUAUUGGGGCUCGCGGUUCCGCGGCCCCUAAAAUCAGUGGCGGUGCCUGUCGGCUCUACGCGUAGUAAUACUCCUCGCGAUUGAGUCCGGUAGGUCUACUUGCCAACAACCCCCAAUUGUUACAGGUUGACCUCGGAUCAGGUAGGGAUACCCGCUGAACUUAAGCAUAUCAAUAAGCGGAGGA
rnacentral:misc_RNA from 1 species